rnacentral:rRNA from 1 species
CAGCCGCCGCGGGAAUACGUAGGUGGCAAGCGUUGUCCGGAAUUAUUGGGCGUAAAGCGCGCGCAGGUGGUUUAAUAAGUCUGAUGUGAAAGCCCACGGCUCAACCGUGGAGGGUCAUUGGAAACUGUUAAACUUGAGUGCAGGAGAGAAAAGUGGAAUUCCUAGUGUAGCGGUGAAAUGCGUAGAGAUUAGGAGGAACACCAGUGGCGAAGGCGGCUUUUUGGCCUGUAACUGACACUGAGGCGCGAAAGCGUGGGGAGCGAAUGGGAUUAGAGACCCCUGUAGUCCCUGUCUCUUAUAA